rnacentral:rRNA from 1 species
CGUACACUCCUGCGGGAGGCAGCAGUGGGGAAUAUUAGACAAUGGGCGCAAGCCUGAUCCAGCCAUGCCGCGUGAGUGAUGAAGGCCCUAGGGUUGUAAAGCUCUUUCACCGGUGAAGAUAAUGACGGUAACCGGAGAAGAAGCCCCGGCUAACUUCGUGCCAGCAGCCGCGGUAAUACGAAGGGGGCUAGCGUUGUUCGGAUUUACUGGGCGUAAAGCGCACGUAGGCGGACUAUUAAGUCAGGGGUGAAAUCCCGGGGCUCAACCCCGGAACUGCCUUUGAUACUGGUAGUCUUGAGUUCGAGAGAGGUGAGUGGAAUUCCGAGUGUAGAGGUGAAAUUCGUAGAUAUUCGGAGGAACACCAGUGGCGAAGGCGGCUCACUGGCUCGAUACUGACGCUGAGGUGCGAAAGCGUGGGGAGCAAACAGGAUUAGAAACCCUGGUAGUCCCAUGAU